rnacentral:rRNA from 1 species
UACGGAGGGUGCAAGCGUUAAUCGGAAUUACUGGGCGUAAAGCGCACGUAGGUGGUUUGCUAAGUCAGACGUGAAAUCCCCCGGCUUAACCUGGGAACUGCGUCUGAUACUGGGAGGCUAGAGUGCGGGAGAGGGAUGCGGAAUUCCAGGUGUAGCGGUGAAAUGCGUAGAUAUCUGGAGGAACACCGGUGGCGAAGGCGGCAUCCUGGACCGACACUGACGCUGAGGCGCGAAAGCUAGGGUAGCAAACGGG